CCUACGGGUGGCAGCAGUGAGGAAUAUUGGGCAAUGGGCGCGAGCCUGAACCAGCCAAGUAGCGUGAAGGAUGACUGCCCUACGGGUUGUAAACUUCUUUUAUAAAGGAGUAAAGUGAGGCACGUGUGCCUUUUUGUAUGUACUUUAUGAAUAAGGAUCGGCUAACUCCGUGCCAGCAGCCGCGGUAAUACGGAGGCUCCGAGCGUUAGCCGGAUUUAUUGGGUUUAAAGGGAGCGUAGAUGGGUUGUUAAGUCAGUUGUGAAAGUUUGCGGCUCAACCGUAAAAUGGCAAUUGAUACUGGAAGCCUUGAGUACAGUUGAGGUAGGCGGAAUUCGUGGUGUAGCGGUGAAAUGCUUAGAUAUAACGAAGAACUCCGAUUGCGAAGGCAGCCUACUAAGCUGCCACUGACAUUGAUGCUCGAAAGUGUGGGUAUCAAACAGGAUUAGAUACCCUAGUAGUC
rnacentral:rRNA from 1 species